rnacentral:rRNA from 1 species
GACGUAGGGCGCGAGCGUUGUCCGGAUUUAUUGGGCGUAAAGAGCUCGUAGGCGGCUUGUCGCGUCGACUGUGAAAACCCGCGGCUCAACUGCGGGCUUGUAGCCGAUACGGGCAGGCUAGAGUUCGGUAGGGGAGACUGGAAUUCCUGGUGUAGCGGUGAAAUGCGCAGAUAUCAGGAGGAACACCGGUGGCGAAGGCGGGUCUCUGGGCCGAUACUGACGCUGAGGAGCGAAAGCGUGGGGAGCGAACAGG